rnacentral:misc_RNA from 1 species
UUUUGUAAGGCGAGUGUAGAGCACCACCUCACCUGCCUCGCUUAUAAGGCGUGCAAUGAACAAAUCGGCAAACGAGCGUACGGCUCAUCUAAUGGCAAGGGUAAAUCAAAAGUGAUUUCCGGCUGCGGCUAACGAUUGGCAGAAGAGGGUACGAAAGCGCAUCGGGCGCUGAGGCCAUAACCCGUGGUUUUCAGCUUUCGCGAGGUUCUCGUCAUGCGGGAUGGUGAUGUCCACUAAAAACACCCUCAACCGUGCCCUGUCCGUCACCACGAUAUCAGGCUUGUUCGCUAGAUUCGUCCUGUCUGUGCCAAUAGGCAGGUCCCAGUAGAGCCGGACUCCGUCGCAUUCGAGUACUGGUACCGAGUGGUGACUAUGGGCAACACACAUGAGUUCAUGCCAUUUUUGGUGCGAACUUGUGGACGCCUAUGUCCAGUAGCGGACUGCAAUAGGCUGAAGUGGUGACUUUAUAUACAGAAUGUUCGACUCCUAAAGGCGUUGCUUCAAAUGGGGACUUCUGAAGGUGUUGUAUACCACAUUACACGUGAAAAAAAGUCUUAGUGCUUUUUUUUUAAUUUUACUCUGGCAAGAUACGAGUUACUAUGGCAAGGUACCUUUGAAUAACGGUCCAAUACUGUGUAUGUCUUCUUAAUAAAUAUUAAUAAAUAAAUACUUUGAUUUAGUUAUUUGAUAACGCUGAUUUUACGUCACCAAAAGUCUGCGAUAGCGGUUCGCGUCACGCUUUUAUUGUAUCAUGAUAAUCGAUAUCAUGUUAUGGCGCUAAUUACAUAAAAUAUAACGACUAUAAAUUAUAUUUGUAUUUUUCAAAUCAUCCGGUUUCAUAGACAUAUGCGUCACCAAUGUUUGGUUAAGAAUGAAAUAUCUUUUGGAAUUUUUACACUUAACAAACAAUUGAUAUGAAAAUGCAUAUACAUGUCAUGACAACACACGUUUAUUUCUUCUGAUAAGUAUGACAAUGUUUUUUAUUUUUUAUGUACAUUUAGAAAAAAUGGAAAAUCCGAAAGUGCUGUGCCUUCCUUCAAUGUUAUGACAUAAUCACCACAUCUAAACUCUACAUCGCUAAGCAUUAUUCAAUUAAUUUAAACCAAAUAUUGCACGGCUUAAAACAUCUAUAAGCUACGGUAAUCGCAUACCAUCAGGUAAGCCAUACACUUGUAAAAUGACCUGGUUAUGUAAAAAAAAAACAUUGAAACCAUCAUAAGCAGCGUAAAUUCCAAUUUUUAUUCUUAAAAUGUCUGAAAUAUAAAUUUCGUUGUAGUGUAGCCAUUAUUCCGCUCAAGCAGCCCGCCUGGGUAAGUACCUCCUUACAGAAGAUCACAGCUAAAUAAUAAGUAUAGUUCUGUUCCUUUAGUAAGAUUGCCAGAGAACCCGGGAAGAGUUGGGGGUAAUGUCGGCAACGCACAGCGGCAACGGCUUGCGAUGCCCAUGGUGUUGCCGGCGUAUGCGAGUAACCGCUUACGGUCAGGUGGGUUUUGUACAGAGAAAAAGGAAGAUCCAAACAAAAUUAAAUCACAUUUUAUCUCUUCAGGAAUUCCUUGCAUUCUUUACAGAAUUUUCAGCCAGAUUUUCACUUCAUAGAUCAGAUAAUGAAUAUGACUUAAUGGACUGAAUUUAGUUUUCAUAUACAUGGAAUAGUUAUCAGCUACAAAUAUCCGUUCGGAUAGACCUACAGAUACGAGGCCUAUGUCCAGCAGUGGACUGCAAUAGGCUGAACUGAAGUGAACUGAACUACAGAUAUGACACAGUAUAUUAUAUAUCAAAUUAUCAAUCAGUAUGUUAAGCCGUCGGUCCCGGUUGUUAUCAUGUACACCUGAUAGCGAUCGUUACUCAUAGUAGGGAAUAUAUCCGCCAACCCGCAUUGGAGCAGCGUGGUGGAUUAAGCUCUGAUCCUUCCGCUACACGAGGAAAGAGGCCUAUGCCCAGUAGUGGAAUAUUAUAGACUGAAGCGAUGUUAUAUAAUAAUAUUUAUUUAUUAAGGGCAACCAACAGUUGAUAAAUUAUAAAUGCUUUAAUACAUAAUAGUUAGGUAAACAAUGAUUAUUUUAAUACAUAACAUUUACGUAAACGAUGAUUAAUAAUUGCUAUUCUUUUUAUCGGCAGUCACUACAUGCUGCUUGCUCAGUGUAAAUAAAAUUUAAUCAGUAAAAUAAUUAAGCAAAGACAGAACUAAAUAUAAAAUAUUACAAUUUACUUUUAAGCUAGAGAAAAUUAAUACGAGUAUUAAUUGUUAUUUAUAAAUAUUAUAUACAAGCUGUUGACCGCAGCUUCGCUUGCAUAGAAAUUGAUUACACUUAUCAAGAAAUGAAAAAGAAGAAGAAAAAAUAUACUUUAUUGUGCAUACAAGUUAACAUACAAAAUAAUGUUCACAAAGGCGGUCUUAUAUCACUAGGUAAGCGAUUUCUCCCAGACAACCUUGGGAUUUUAAAACAAUACAGAUUAGGGUCAUCAAAAAGGCGAAACAAAAAUUAAAAACAAAUUGAAUCCU